UUAUUCUAGAAUUAUCAUGUAAAUCAGUUAUACAACAUCGGAGAUGUAUUUAAUUGUAAGAUGAUAAAAACGUUCGUUGAUCGUUCGAAUGAAAAUCUUUGAGAGCCAAAGGCAGCGAACGAGCGACGAUCUUUUAUCGUAUACAUCAAGAACGAGAGAUGAUGAAACGAAGAAGGAGAAAAGCCAAAGAGAAAGGAACAUUUACCACGGGUACGAGCACUCGGAUGGAAAAAUCGAAACAUUAGAGAUUCUCUUCGUUAUUGGGGAAACGAAAGACAUCCGUGAGAAUCUUUACGAGUGUACUAAGAACGUUAAAGCGAUUCAAGCUUUGCUCGUAUUCGGGAUAAAAAAAAAGAAAAAAAAAGGAAAAUAGAAGAAGCUUUCGAUUUCUGUCCGCAGCACAUGUUAGCACACGUACGUUCAAGGUCGUUAACUCCAAAGUUCAAGCAAACUGGUGCACGAUACCUUUUAAAGUAACCAUUUGUAUGUUCAGCGACGAAUAGAAAAAAGUGAGUAAAAAUAUAUCACUAGUGGUUAUUAGUGCAAUUUUAUG